UACGUAGGGUGCGAGCGUUGUCCGGAAUUAUUGGGCGUAAAGGGCUCGUAGGCGGUUUGUCGCGUCGGGAGUGAAAUCCACUGGCUUAACUGGUGGCUUGCUUUCGAUACGGGCAGACUGGAGGUAUGCAGGGGAGGACGGAAUUCCUGGUGUAGCGGUGAAAUGCGCAGAUAUCAGGAGGAACACCGGUGGCGAAGGCGGUUCUCUGGACAGGCACUGACGCUGAGACGCGAAAGCGUGGGUAGCAAACAGG
rnacentral:rRNA from 1 species